rnacentral:rRNA from 1 species
CCGGCGCACGGGUGCGUAACGCGUAUGCAAUCUACCUUAUACUGGGGUAUAGCCCGAAGAAAUUCGGAUUAAUCCCCCAUAGUACUAAUAUACUUCAUGGUAAUUUAGUUAAAGUUUCGGCGGUAUGAGAUGAGCAUGCGUCCUAUUAGCUUGAUGGUAAGGUAACGGCUUACCAUGGCUACGAUAGGUAGGGGGCCUGAGAGGGUGACCCCCCACACUGGUACUGAGACACGGACCAGACUCCUACGGGAGGCAGCAGUGAGGAAUAUUGGUCAAUGGGCGCAAGCCUGAACCAGCCAUGCCGCGUGCAGGAAGAAUGCCCUAUGGGUUGUAAACUGCUUUUAUUUAGGAAUAAACCUUUCUACGUGUAGAAAGCUGAAGGUACUGAAUGAAUAAGCACCGGCUAACUCCGUGCCAGCAGCCGCGGUAAUACGGAGGGUGCAAGCGUUAUCCGGAAUCAUUGGGUUUAAAGGGUCCGCAGGCGGGCGUAUAAGUCAGUGGUGAAAUCCUGCAGCUUAACUGCAGAACUGCCAUUGAUACUGUAUGCCUUGAAUUCGGUCGAAGUGGGCGGAAUGUGUAGUGUAGCGGUGAAAUGCAUAGAUAUUACACAGAACACCGAUAGCGAAGGCAGCUCACUAGGCCUGGAUUGACGCUCAGGGACGAAAGCGUGGGGAUCAAACAGGAUUAGAUACCCUGGUAGUCCACGCCGUAAACUAUGAUUACUCGUUUUUGGCGAUAUACAGUCGGAGACUAAGCGAAAGUGAUAAGUAAUCCACCUGGGGAGUACGAUCGCAAGGUUGAAA